rnacentral:lncRNA from 1 species
AUUGCUAACAGUUGCAAUUAGGGUUGGGGUUGUGUGUCUUGCUUGCAAGGAGCGCUCAUAAUCAAUGAGCUUAACAAACAAAACAAUACUGGAAAAGUUACUAGUGUAUCACGAGCCUUUAGGGCAGUUGCCAUAGGCUUGUAAUCGUCGCCUAAUUGAGAAAGGAUAUGGAUUGUGAGGCCUUUAUCAGAAAAUGGACUUUGGGAUAGCGCUGAAUCAGCUUUCAUCUCAUGGAGAAAUUCGGUCACCAUUUUUGCCCCUUUGUUGUUCCUAGCAAGCUUUGAUUUGAGGGAGAUGAUUUGUGACCUGAAAAAACACUCUCUGUUAGGUGUUGAAAGAGUCUGUGGGUUGUCGUAACCGAGGAAAUGAUUGGCUGGGUAGUGUCAGGGCAUCUUCGAAGAAGAGCUCCGAGUAGUAUUUGGUCCUGUCGAAACCAUGGGCGAUAGUUGGGAGGAUUUGUCUUGCUAUCUAAUAAUUUUGGUGAUGCAACCACGGAACCAUCAACAAACUGAUCAAUGUCAAGACGGUGGAAAGGACCUGUUUGCGCCAUACUAGGAAGUUGUGGGCGAGAAAAAAAGGCGUUGGCUCGAAAAGUGCAGAUGAGCAGUUGUGAUCUGAUUACCAUAUAAGAUUGUGAUGCAGUGAAUUUGUUCAUAUUCUUUACAAAAAAAUACACGCCAUAUAUAGGCAGAUUUGAAGAAGGAAUAGGAGCAGUUACAGGAGAGAAUUGUCAAACUACUACAGGUUUAUAUACAUUUAUGUCUUUGACUAAAUCUCCAUAAUGUCGUCUUUCCUAAUAAUGUAACAUGAUUACUUAUGACUA